CCAUCAUCCAGCACUCACACACCCAUCAUCCAGCACUCACACAAACACCCAUCAUCCAGCACUCACACAAACACCCAUCAUCCAGCACUCACACACCCAUCAUCCAGCACUCACACACCCAUCAUCCAGCACUCACACACACAUCAUCCAGCACUCACACACAUCAUCCAGCACUCACACACCCAUCAUCCAGCACUCACACACCCAUCAUCCAGCACACACACACCCAUCAUCCAGCACUCACACACCCAUCAUCCAGCACACAC